rnacentral:lncRNA from 1 species
CCAAGUAGAAGAAACUUCAGGGAAUGCAAAUUAAAUGGAUAUAAGAGGCAAAACAAUAAAGGCAAGGAGAGGAAUUGGUAGGAAAGCUGGUGUUGUUGAUUCGAUAUGUGAACACUUGGACUCUUUCAUGGCUGGAUCAAAAUUUUUCUCAGAAGAAUAGAUAGGUA